rnacentral:lncRNA from 1 species
AUGAAGAAAAAGACCCAGACCAAAGAGAAGAAAGCAGGGAAGCAGCUGAGCGACGUGGAGGAGGAAGGGUCAGACCUGGAGGUGGUUGGAGAGGGGGUCGGGGAGGGAGAGAAGGAGAAUGAGGACAUCUCUAACGAAGGGGCCCCACCUGCCCCCAAUCCCCCCAAGAGGAAGCGCAAAAGGACAGCUGGGGCAGAGUCCUCCCCCGAUAAAGCCAAGGGCAGAAAGAAAAAGAAAAGCAAACUAAUAAUAAGUGAUGAAGAAGAGACCGGUCUGCCUGAAGAGUCUGAUGCUGGGGUUCCAGAAGGUCAAGUGCCGGAAGAUGAUUCAACUGCUCACAGUUUAAAGCAGGCAGAAGAGCCAGUGGAAGGAGCCAAGGGACUGGGGGUGAUCAAACCAGCCAAGCUCUCCCGAGGUCAACCCCAGAGACCCCCACUUAACCUGGGUAGGAAGGGGGGGAAGUGUGGCCCAGGGCCCACGGCCAAGCCUUCUAAUAAGGAGGGGGCUUCGCAUGUGGAGGAGAUCACAGAACAAGGGCUUCCUAUAGAACAGGUUAAUGAAGAUGCCUCUAAGCCUAAAAGUGAGAAAAAGAAGGCUUGUGAACUCUCUUCAUCUGAUGAAGAAGAAGAAGCCAAUGAUAAACCCGUCAAGCCAACCAGGUAUGGCAGAAUUCCCAAAAAGACCAAGUUCAUGAAUUUCCCAGGGAAUGAGGAUGGGAACUUGACCUCCGACUCUCCCGCUGCACCUGUCAUGGACGAAUCCCCCUCCACAUCCUCUUCCACCAACCCCAAAGCCAAACCACCAACCAGAAGGGCCAAAAUCAAGCCUGGCCCCGCCCUGCCUGGUAGGAAGGGCCAAUUGGCAGCUAUGAAAUCCAAGCUGGUCACCCUCAGGGCAUCCCAGUCUGAAGAUGAUGAUGAUGAUGAUGAGGGCAGUGGAGGACAGAGAGAGGAGGCACUGAUCGAGGAGGACCUCCACACUCUCACCUACCCAGAAGAGCAGAACCAGGCUCCGGCAUUUGUUCCCAUGAGCCUCCGCUCUCCACAGCCCAUCAUCACAGAGGUUGAGGAGACCAUGGAGGAGGAUGUCAUUGACUUCCUGUCUCCAGAUAACAUGGACGUAUCUGAAGAGAGCUACAAUGACGCAGCUAGAACCUUACUGGCCAUCGGCAACCUCAGCUACGUGUCCCAGGCUGAGACAUCCACUGGAGCAGCAGAGGAUUUCAUCACGGAAGAAUGUUCCAAUAAGGACCAACUCCUCCAGGUAGUCACUGAGGCUUCACAAACUGCUGAGGAUACUGUCCCUGUUGCCCCAGCAACAUCCCCUAUCGCUGUCACCACCACAAGCAAAACAGCAUCUCCUCCAGUCACCACGACAACAGCGUCUCCUCCAGUCACCACGACAACAGCGUCUCCUCCAGUCACCACGACAACAGCGUCUCCUCCAGUCACCACGACAACAGCGUCUCCUCCAGUCACCACGACAACAGCGUCUCCUCCAGUCACCACGACAACAGCGUCUCCUCCAGUCACCACGACAACAGCGUCUCCUCCAGUCACCACGACAACAGCGUCUCCUCUAGUCACCACGACAACAGCCUUUGUCCCCGUGUCUCAGAUUAGUGGAAUGCCUCCUGUAGAAGCACUACCCAAAGAGGAGACUCUCCAGCAGGGGGAGUUUUGUUCAGAAGAAGCAGAGGUCUCAGAGAAACCGUUGUCCCCAAAAACCAGGAGAAGCCGCUUCCCUAAGGUUAAACCCAAUCUUUGUCGGACUGCCAGAUCAACUCAACCCAAACGUAAACUGUCUACAGAAAAUACAUCUCCACAGGCCGAAUCACCAAAACCUGAAGAAGAUACUACCCUGCAACCAAAACCACAACCUGGAGAAAUUAUUACCAUAAAGCCAGAACUACCACAACCCCCCAAACAUUCUACAGAAAGUCAUACCAUACAGCCAGAACUACCACAACCCCCAAAAAAUACUACAGAAAGUCAUACCGUACAGCCAGAAUUUCCACAACCCCCCCAAAAUACUACAGAAAGUCAUACCGUACAGCCAGAACUACCACAAACCCCCCAAAAUAAUACAGAAGGUCAUACCAUACAGCCAGAACUACCCCAGGCUGUGGAUGAUACUACCACACAGCCAGAACAACUACAACCAAGAGAAAACAUUAAGAUUCUACCCAAAACACAUCAGACCAGCACCACACUUUCAGACCCACCACCAGCCGUUAAUGUCACCAGAGAAGCAACACCGCCUACCAACAAUCUUACCAGGCAAUCAGAAGGCCAGACCCGACUAAGAACUACCUCGCAUUCAAAAAUGCAGCCCACCACAAAUAACAUCCCCCACUCAGAACCACUGCCCAUUCAGAGGACCAGAAUUGCCCGUUCCAAGCGGCAGUCCUCAUUGAAUGAACCAACCCCACCCACACUUAAUUCCCCCACAAACAAAUGUCCUAAACCACAAUCCACAGAAAGUACAACCAUACUCCCAGAAUCCGGCCCAAGCCCAGAGCAGAACAGUCCAGGUACAUGUAGAACCAGAGCCCCUGACCCAGAGUUCUCUCUGCAGUCAUCUGAAGACGUAAAAGGUGACAGUGACGUUAAGGAAAUUACUUCCUCGUCCCUCAGUGCUGAAGGUUCCCUAUCAGGGACAUCAGACCCAAAACAGCCAAAGCAGACUGGUCCACCAACCCGCAGGGCCCGUUUGCCUAAACCCAAACCCAACCUGGGUCACCCCACCAGAGGCACAACACGUUCUGCAGCCCAGGUAUCAGAAAGCAGUAACAAACCUGAUGUCCAGACACCAUCUGUUGAGGCUACCAGCCCCUGUCAGGAAGUUCAGACACCAUCUGUUGAGGCUACCAGCCCCUGUCAGGAAGUUCAAAGGCAAGAAACUGUCCAAACACCAGAGAAAGCUGAUGUCGUUUCCAUGGAUAUACAACAAAUUCAUCAUGUCAUCCCCUUUUCGGACAUCAUCGAUACGACCCAGGGGAAUACAUCUGUCUUCACCGAGGAGCAUUUCUUCACCCCACAAAGCGUUGCCGUCAACACCCAGAACUCGGAAAGUUUGGUCUCAUCUGUUGUGUUCAACCUGGACCAGGACCAGCAAGAUCCCGACGAGCCCAUCUUCAUCCUCUCCCUGACCGAAAUCCCAGUCCACCCUACAGGGGAGGAGUACACCCUCUCUGAGGCCUUCUCUUUUCAACCGGCUGAGGGCGCUUGCAUUCAACUGCAGCAAAGCAGUGACAGUGUUGCCCCUGGAGGUGGUUUGGGGAAAGGGGAUGCUGGCGUCCUCCAUAGUGUCCCUGAGUCUGUGCCAGUGGACCUGAUCGUCCCUCAACCUUCCCACACCCCUGUCAGCGAAGCGGAAUGUGACUCCACGGCUAGCCCAGAAGGUGUGGGCGUCUCAGCCAAUCCCUCGGGGGACCCCACAGCCGGCGCUGAGUCCGACGAGGACGUGGCUCCUCCGACUGAGAAGACAGAAGUGCCAGAGAGAGCCAGGAGAGGCAAACUGCUGGUGAGACCUACCUGCCCACGAAGGCUCACUCGUUCAGCCGUCACCGAGGAAGCAGUGUCCAACCUCCCCCCAGGCCGAGCCCCCUCCGCUGACCACCCUCCAGCCUCGCCACAACCCUCCGUCACCAGGCCGGCAUUGGGAGACGCGGGGGCCGAUGAGUCGCAGCAGAGAGUACUGGGCCAUUUAAACCUCCCAGAGACAGAAGACGCUGGUGGGAAGGACCGUAGUUUGGGGGCGGAGAUUCAGGCUGCCCAAUCAAUUACACCACUGGUUACGACAAGUCCAUUGAGCAGGCCUGGUAGGAGACCCAGAGGAUUCCUGUCGUUCAUGUCCAAUAAGCCCCUCACACCUGCCUCCUCUGCCCCUGCUCGAGGUCCCAGAGCAGCCGCUCAGAGGCCCCAGGUCAACACCAACCGCACUGGGGGGAAACGGGCUGACUCCGCUCCCUCCUCCGUCAGAGCUAUGCCUGCACGUUUCACCAGCCCCACUAGAACCACCAUUAAGCCUGACGGUUCCCCGACGGUGACCUGGGGAAAACCCUCUGAUGUUCAAACCACCGAAUCAGACCCAGAGCCCAGUACCUCCCAGGGUACAGCUUCCCAGGUAAAGAGGUGGACACCUCCUACUGGGAUUGGUCUGCCAACCUUUCUAGUACAGUACAAUCGACAGAACAUAACCCUCCCCCUUCCCAUCUGUCUCCUCCCCCUUCCCAUCUGUCUCCUCCCCCUUCCCAUCUGUCUCUGCUCUCUCCAAUCCCUCAUUCUGUCUCCUUCAUCUCCCUCUCUUCCUUCAUUUCUCCCUCUCUCUCUCUGCAUCUCUUCCUUUUUCUUGACCAGCCUUCUCAGGGGCCAGAUGGCCAGCCCAGUGCCUCUCCCUGUGUGGACAGCUACUCAACAGACGAGGAACCCAUCAACGUGUCCCAGUACUUUUUCAGUGACAUCUUCACUGAGGUUGAGGAGAAUGAGGGGUGACCGGAAAGAUAACAAGGCAUCUUUUAAUUCAUUGAACCGAGCUGAAGAACAAACUGCUAAAAAGUACUUGAAGAUUUUUGGAUGUAGCACUAAAAUCACAUCGCUUUGUGGUUAUGCUAACAAGGUUUCUGGUUUGCGGUGAAUAUAUUUGGCCACUAGAUGGCCACAAAACAGAACUUAAGACGAUUAUUUCAGAAGAAAACACUUUUUUUGUCCUGCUUAGGAACUUUGCUCUAAUUUGUGCACCUUUGCUAUAAUAAUAUCUUGAAUCAUAUUCAGACAACUUUGUAUCCUAAUAACAUAUUUAUAUUUAUUUGGUUUUAUUUCUUUUAAACCACUUAGGUAGACAUGAACAAUUCAAACUCACUUCUAUAGCACUCGCCAGUUUUGCAGUUUGCUCAGGGACUUUCAAAUUCAUAUUUGAGUUCUUUUUUUAUAGGUUUGCUGUUAGUCACAUGAUCACGCCAUUGAAUUUGCCAAGUUUCUCCAAAAACAAACAGGCUUUAAGUUAUCUCACUGGUUCUAAAAUUGAUCUCAACCUUUCUCAGACAAACUGCAUCACCGCCAAUCACAAUCCAAAUCAAAAUAAUUCAUCACUGAUCGCAAUCUCAGUUUUAAUAGGCUAGAAUAGGUUGUCACUCUUAGUGUCUGCUAAACCAAUAAUUUGUAAGGAGGGACUUUCCAGGUGGAAAGAGAUUACAGAUGAUCAUGUGACUGGAGUGCUCUGUUAAAGCAUGUUUACAUUUACAUAUGAAGCCCUUGUCUUACAGUGAACAUUGUGUAAAUAUGUUAAUUAUAAUUUAGAUCAGAUAUAUUGCAGGGGGGAUUUUGGUGCAUGAAAAAGACUUGUUGUGCAGCUUCACAAUGUUUAUUAAAUGCUGCCUGAUGACACUGUUUACAGAGUCCUCAUUUAAUCAAUGUACCGCUACAACAAAUGCACUAGUCCAUUUUCAGUUCUCAAAUUUUUUGUUUUCAAAUUAGCAUAGCUGUUAUGUUGCUAAUGUAAAAUAUGUGAAUAAAGUUGUGUAUGUGAAUGUCUGCUUUAUGUUGAAUGCCUUGCUUAAACAGUUGUUAAAGAAACAAGAAUGCCUUAUUGGUAAGUACAAAUGAAAGCACAAUUAAAGCCGUUUUAAACAUUGGUCUUUGGUCUGUUGGCCACUAGGAGGCUGUCAAGUGCUUUUUGCGCACCACCUAUGCCGCAGAACCAAAACCAGCAGAAUAAACUAAGUUAUCAUUUUUAAAUAGAGCAUGAGAGAACGUCACCUUCAUUGGUCUGAGCAGUAAAUAAAGAGCCCAUCUCUAAAGCUUUGAACGUGCAAUGCAAAUCAGCAUUCCUAUAGUUCUUGCUGUGUGUCUGUGUGUGAGUUCGUAGAGGGGACGGGGGAGGAAUGUGCAGAUGUUCCAUUCCCAAACAGCAUAAAGAGGCAGGGAAAUAGUUUUGUGUUUCUAAUGUUUCUGAUAGUCAAGUUGCUGUGACUCACAGCUUACCCACUCCACCCUCUCACAGGCUGUCAUGCUGUAUUUUUCUGUUGAUUUAAAUUGAGUGGGGAUGUACAGUAAUUCAUAUACUCUGCUAUUAAUCAGGGUGACUCAACAGUUUCCAUUCUGUGUACAAGAGCAGAAGAACACUGCAUGUUCACCUGCCGUGCAAUUUAAACCAGUAAUAUACUGUAUCACUAACAGCUGUUGUUAAGACCAUGCAAAUGGUGAUGUGUUUGUGUGUGGAUUCAUUUUCCAAAAUAAUUGCAUUACACCCACCCAAGAGCAUAUGGUAAUUGUGGUGUGAUUAGUGGUGAU